GUUUGGUUUUGGCUCAGUGGUAGAAUGCUCGCCUGCCACGCGGGCGGCCCGGGUUCGAUUCCCGGCCGAUGCA
rnacentral:tRNA from 1 species